rnacentral:rRNA from 1 species
AGAGUUUGAUCCGUGGCNCGAGGACGAACGGCUGGCGGCGUGCCUAACACAUGCAAGUCGACCGGGGACAUCAGGUAAGCUUGCUUACCGGGUGUUCUAGCGGCGGACGGGUGAGUAACGCGUGAGCAACCUGCCUUUAACAGGGGGAUAACGCAUCGAAAGAUGUGCUAAUACCGCAUAAGACCACGGCAUCACAUGGUGAAGAGGUCAAAGGAGCAAUCCGGUUAAAGAUGGGCUCGCGUCCGAUUAGCUAGUUGGUGAGACAACAGCCCACCAAGGCGACGAUCGGUAGCCGACCUGAGAGGGUGAUCGGCCACAUUGGAACUGAGAAACGGUCCAGACUCCUACGGGAGGCAGCAGUGGGGAAUAUUGGGCAAUGGGCGAAAGCCUGACCCAGCAACGCCGCGUGAGGGAAGAAGGGUUUCGGCUCGUAAACCUCUGUCCUGUGGGACGAAGGAAGUGACGGUACCACAGGAGGAAGCCCCGGCUAACUACGUGCC